UUAUAGCUUUGCCUUCGCUUAAUAGUAAGCAGCACUGGAGUAUUACCAAAAGUAAAUUACAGUUAUACACCCAUUCCUUUUUUUCUAUGGUAUUAGGUUUAUACACGUUCAAUGCUUAAUAUUAUGAAGCUUUAUAUUUAUUUGUAUUUAACUUUAUUUAUCGAACUUUUAUAAUUUUCCCUAAAAGACAUAUCACACAGAAAACUCCCCAUCAAUAAAAAUAGUAAUAGCUUUUGAAAAAAUCAAAGAGCCGAAGGAAGUAAUAAAACGUAUUGAAACGCGACUCCAGCUUUGCACUAUAUUUAUUAAAUGUAUAAAAGAUUUGUUUAAUUGCGUUACUAUAAAGCAACACUCUGUGUUGUUUUUGGAUGCCGAUUGGUUAACCCAAUUGGACGAAUUCGGCAUCAUAAACCUCAAUAACCUGAUAAAAAUUUACCGAAGAAAAACCUUUUUAGUUGCUGUAUUCAAAAAAAUAUCUCUGGAUAAUUUAAUCUUCUGCAACUAUUUUUCUUGCGAUUAUCUCAUCAUGAAACCCUUAACUACCUUAGAAGUUCUAACAGUUUUAUUAAUAGCUAUGAAAACAUUUCCCAGGAAAUAUAAAGAAAGAAGAGAGCUAUAACUCUUCGAAAACCUAAA